rnacentral:SRP_RNA from 1 species
GCCGGGCAUGGUGGCUUAUGCCUGUAAUCCCAGCGCUUUGGGAGGCCGAGAUGGGUGGAUCACCUGAGGUCAGGAGUUUGAGACCAGCCUGGCCAACAUGGUGAAACCCCGUCUCUA